rnacentral:rRNA from 1 species
AAUAUUGCACAAUGUAGGGAACUCUGAUGCAGCAACGCCGCGUGAGUGAAGAAGGUUUUCGCAUCGUAUAACUCUGUCAUUUGGGAAGAAUAAAUGCCGGUUCCCAAUGAGGAAGCCCUGGCUAACUACUUACCACCAGCCGCGGUAAUACGUAGGGGGCGAGCGUUGUCCGGAAUUACUGGGCGUAAAGGGUACGUAGGCGGCUAUAUAAGUCAGGUGUGAAAUACCAGGGCUUAACACUGGAAUUGCAUUUGAAACUGUGUAGCUUGAGUGCAGGAGAGGAAAGUGGAAUUCCUAGUGUAGCGGUGAAAUGCGUAGAGAUUAGGAGAAACACCAGUGGCGAAGGCGACUUUCUGGACUGUAACUGACGCUGAGGUACGAAAGCGUGGGUAGCGAACA